UUCCAGACUCCUACGGGAGGCAGCAGUGGGGGAUAUUGCACAAUGGGGGGAACCCUGAUGCAGCGACGCCGCGUGGGUGAAGAAGCGCCUCGGCGCGUAAAGCCCUGUCAGCAGGGAAGAAAAUGACGGUACCUGAGUAAGAAGCUCCGGCUAAAUACGUGCCAGCAGCCGCGGUAAUACGUAUGGAGCAAGCGUUAUCCGGAUUUACUGGGUGUAAAGGGAGCGUAGGCGGCCUGCCAAGUCUGAUGUGAAAUACCGGGGCUCAACCCCGGGGCUGCAUUGGAAACUGGCAGGCUGGAGUGUCGGAGAGGCAGGCGGAAUUCCUAGUGUAGCGGUGAAAUGCGUAGAUAUUAGGAGGAACACCAGUGGCGAAGGCGGCCUGCUGGACGAUGACUGACGCUGAGGCUCGAAAGCGUGGGGAGCAAACAGGAUUAGAUACCCGUGUA
rnacentral:rRNA from 1 species